rnacentral:rRNA from 1 species
GAUGAACGCUGGCGGCGUGCCUAAUACAUGCAAGUCGAGCGAACGGACGAGAAGCUUGCUUUUCUGAUGUUAGCGGCGGACGGGUGAGUAACACGUGGAUAACCUACCUAUAAGACUGGGAUAACUUCGGGAAACCGGAGCUAAUACGGGAUAAUAUUCUGAACCGCAUGGUUCAAAAGUGAAAGACGGUCUUGCUGUCACUAAUCGCUGGAUCCGCGCUGCUUUGGAUAGUUGGUAGGGUAACGGCUUACCAAGGCAAGGAUGCAUAGCCGACGUGAGAGAGUGGUCGGCCACACGGGAACUGAAACGGCGUCCAGGGUACUAAGAGAGGCAGCAGUCGGGAAUGUGCGGCAGUGGGCGGAAGCCUGACAGAGCGAGGCCGAGUGAGAGAUGGAAGUCUUCGGAUCGUGAAGCUCUGUUAUGAGGGAAGAACAGAUGUGUAAGUUGCUGUACACAGCUUGACGGUACCUGAUCAGAAAGCCACGGCUAACUACGUG